CUCUCUUGUUGACCUUGCAGUAAACGCUCCAUGUAACGUGCCAAUACAUCCACUUCCAGAUUGACUCGGCGUCCCACUUGGAAUUCAUCGAUAGUGGUUUCUGCGCUGGUGUGGGGCACUA
rnacentral:sRNA from 1 species